AUUGAACGCUGGCGGCAUGCUUUACACAUGCAAGUCGAACGGCAGCGCGGGCUUCGGCCUGGCGGCGAGUGGCGAACGGGUGAGUAAUGCAUCGGAACGUGCCCAGUAGUGGGGGAUAGCCCGGCGAAAGCCGGAUUAAUACCGCAUACGACCUGAGGGUGAAAGCGGGGGACCGAAAGGCCUCGCGCGCUUGGAGCGGCCGAUGUGGGAUUAGCUAGUUGGUGGGGUAAAGGCUUACCAAGGCGACGAUCCGUAGCUGGGCUGAGAGGACGAGCAGCCACACUGGGACUGAGACACGGCCCAGACUCCUACGGGAGGCAGCAGUGGGGAAUUUUGGACAAUGGGGGCAACCCUGAUCCAGCCAUGCCGCGUGCGGGAAGAAGGCCUUCGGGUUGUAAACCGCUUUUGUUCGGGAAGAAAUCCUCUGGGCUAAUACCCCGGGGGGAUGACGGUACCGGAAGAAUAAGCACCGGCUAACUACGUG
rnacentral:rRNA from 1 species